GACGUAGGGGGCCAGCGUUGUUCGGAAUUACUGGGUGUAAAGGGUUCGUAGGCGGUGCGGCAAGUUGGGAGUGAAAUCUCUGGGCUUAACCCAGAGGCUGCUUCCAAAACUGCUGUGCUUGAGUGUGGGAGAGGCGCGUGGAAUUGCAGGUGUAGCGGUGAAAUGCGCAGAUAUCAGGAGGAACACCGGUGGCGAAGGCGGGUCUCUGGGCCGAUACUGACGCUGAGGAGCGAAAGCGUGGGGAGCGAACAGG
rnacentral:rRNA from 1 species